rnacentral:rRNA from 1 species
GUGCCUACGGGACGCAGCAGUGAGGAAUAUUGGUCAAUGGUCGGGAGACUGAACCAGCCAAGCCGCGUGAGGGAUGAAGGUACAGAGUAUCGUAAACCUCUUUUGUCAGGGAACAAAGGCGGGGACGUGUCCCCGGAUGAGUGUACCUGAAGAAAAGGCAUCGGCUAACUCCGUGCCAGCAGCCGCGGUAAUACGGAGGAUGCGAGCGUUAUCCGGAUUUAUUGGGUUUAAAGGGUGCGUAGGCGGGCUGUUAAGUCAGCGGUCAAAUGUCGGGGCUCAACCCCGGCCUGCCGUUGAAACUGGCG